AUUGAACGCUGGCGGCAUGCCUUACACAUGCAAGUCGAACGGUAACGCGGGGCAACCUGCGACGAGUGGCGAACGGGUGAGUAACGCAUCGGAACGUGCCCAGUAGUGGGGGAUAGCCCGGCGAAAGCCGGAUUAAUACCGCAUACGACCUACGGGUGAAAGGGGGGGAUCGCAAGACCUCUCGCUAUUGCAGCGGCCGAUGUCAGAUUAGGUAGUUGGUGGGGUAAAGGCCCACCAAGCCUUCGAUCUGUAGCUGGUCUGAGAGGACGACCAGCCACACUGGGACUGAGACACGGCCCAGACUCCUACGGGAGGCAGCAGUGGGGAAUUUUGGACAAUGGGCGCAAGCCUGAUCCAGCCAUGCCGCGUGCGGGAAGAAGGCCUUCGGGUUGUAAACCGCUUUUGUCAGGGAAGAAACGCUCUGGGCUAAUACCCCGGGGUAAUGACGGUACCUGGAGAAUAAGCACCGGCUAACUACGUGCCAGCCGCCGCUAACA
rnacentral:rRNA from 1 species